rnacentral:rRNA from 1 species
GACGAACGCUGGCGGCGUGCUUAACACAUGCAAGUCGAACGGAAAGGCCCUGCUUUUGUUGGGUGCUCGAGUGGCGAGCGGGUGAGUAACACGUGAGUAACCUGCCCUUGACUUUGGGAUAACUUCAGGAAACUGGGGCUAAUACCGGAUAGGAGCUCCUGCUGCAUGGUGGGGGUUGGAAAGUUUCGGCGGUUGGGGAUGGACUCGCGGCUUAUCAGCUUGUUGGUGGGGUAGUGGCUUACCAAGGCUUUGACGGGUAGCCGGCCUGAGAGGGUGACCGGCCACAUUGGGACUGAGAUACGGCCCAGACUCCUACGGGAGGCAGCAGUGGGGAAUAUUGCACAAUGGGCGGAAGCCUGAUGCAGCAACGCCGCGUGCGGGAUGACGGCCUUCGGGUUGUAAACCGCUUUCGCCUGUGACGAAGCGUGAGUGACGGUAAUGGGUAAAGAAGCACCGGCUAACUACGUG